rnacentral:rRNA from 1 species
GUGGGGAAUUUUGGACAAUGGGCGCAAGCCUGAUCCAGCAAUGCCGCGUGCAGGAAGAAGGCCUUCGGGUUGUAAACUGCUUUUGUACGGAACGAAAAGGCUCUGGUUAAUACCUGGGGCUCAUGACGGUACCGUAAGAAUAAGCACCGGCUAACUACGUGCCAGCAGCCGCGGUAAUACGUAGGGUGCAAGCGUUAAUCGGAAUUACUGGGCGUAAAGCGUGCGCAGGCGGUUUUGUAAGACAGACGUGAAAUCCCCGGGCUCAACCUGGGAAUGGCGUUUGUGACUGCAAAGCUGGAGUGCGGCAGAGGGGGAUGGAAUUCCGCGUGUAGCAGUGAAAUGCGUAGAUAUGCGGAGGAACACCGAUGGCGAAGGCAGUCCCCUGGGCCUGUACUGACGCUCAUGCACGAAAGCGUGGGGAGCAAACAGGAUUAGAUACCCGUGUAGUCC